rnacentral:rRNA from 1 species
CCUACGGGCUGCAGCAGUGAGGAAUAUUGGUCAAUGGACGAGAGUCUGAACCAGCCAAGUAGCGUGAAGGAUGACUGCCCUAUGGGUUGUAAACUUCUUUUAUAUGGGAAUAAAAUGUUCCACGUGUGGGAUUUUGUAUGUACCAUAUGAAUAAGGAUCGGCUAACUCCGUGCCAGCAGCCGCGGUAAUACGGAGGAUCCGAGCGUUAUCCGGAUUUAUUGGGUUUAAAGGGAGCGUAGGUGGAUUGUUAAGUCAGUUGUGAAAGUUUGCGGCUCAACCGUAAAAUUGCAGUUGAAACUGGCAGUCGUGAGUACAGUGGAGGUGGGCGGAAGUCGUGGUGUAGCGGUGAAAUGCUUAGAUAUCACGAAGAACUCCGAUUGCGAAGGCAGCUCACUGGACUGCAACUGACACUGAGGCUCGAAAGUGUGGGUAUCAAACAGGAUUAGAUACCCCGGUAGUC